GCAUUAAUGGGGUAGUGGUAACCUGGGUCGUUGCCAUGGGUAAUGAACCAUUGUACUCGACCCGCCGGGGGUUCGAUUCCCCCUUAAUGCA
rnacentral:tRNA from 1 species